rnacentral:misc_RNA from 1 species
AAGCAUGGAGGUAAGCCAAUGCACAAGCAGUUUCUACAGCAAUAUUCAUGCGGAUAGGCCAUGGGAGGAAUCCGUCCUUUGCUCUAUCCCCAUUCAGGUGAUCUGCCACUGUUCCAUUGGGAAUGUAUUCAUAAACAAGGAGGAGUUCACGGCUAUGCUUUGAUGUGCAACCAUAAAGGGUAACAAGAUUUCGAUGCCGUAGGCGAGAGAGAAUUUCAAUUUCAUUUUUAAACUGUUCCAUUCUCUUGCAAUUGUGCUCGUAA